rnacentral:lncRNA from 1 species
AGGUGCCUUGGAGCCGCUGCUCUCGCCUCCCUUCUCCACCUAGCGGCGGUGUUUCACACCCCGGAGUGGCUUUUUGGGGAUAAAGGCACAAAUCUUUGCCAGACCUCCCGCCAGGCCCCCUGGCCUGCCACGUGCUCCUUGCCGGCCUAGACUCACCCAGGCUGUGCCCUCUGCUCAGAACGACCUUUCCCCCCUUCCUCUCCCCCUCGCUUGCUCCGACUGUUCUUUGCAAUCCCGGCUGGGGUUGGGUUAAGGGCCUUCUGGGGCUUCUUCAUACCCUGUGCAUCUUCCUCCUACUGGCACCGACCACCCCACACUGGGCUGCCAUCUGCUUGUCUACACCCACUGACUUUUCAUCUCUGUAUCUCCCCAGUAAGCAGGAGUGGCUCACAGAAGGCACGUUAAUACCUGUGUGUUAAUAUAAACCAAGGAGCGGGACGAUAGCUAGGAAGUAACAUCCCUGGGCAUCAUCUGAGUACCAGGCCCCCUGCCAGGUACUUUAGAGGCUACUUGAUGUUCAGGCCCAUGGCAGCCCUGGGAGGGAGGCACAAAGGCUCUUUUGUUCC